GAUCUUCACCCAAGAGUAGCUGCAAUGUGAAUGGCAGGAUAUGAAGCAAGUAAAAGAUGGUGAAAAGAUUAUCUUAUGCUGGGAAUUAAGUGAUGAAAGGGACCUUGGAAAUUAUCAACUCUAAAUGCUUCUUUAGAGGGAAAUUGAAAGCAGUUAAGAAACUGCCCCCUGCUGUGCUGAGUUGGAGUUCUUGGUGCCUGGGUGCAUCCCCAAGGCCACUGGUCUUCAGAUCUUUCUUACUUGAGAAGAACGCCUCCACCUCCUGGCUCUCCCACCAGUGGUACUGCCACUACCACACACCAGCAUAAAGCACAGAUUGCUGCCCAGCUCCUUGGAGAGGGGCCAGUGCAUUUGUCAGGA
rnacentral:lncRNA from 1 species